GAUGCAACGUGAAGAACCUUAAUCUACUCUUGACAUCCAGAGAACAUCGUAGAGAUUCGAGGGUUGCUAGGGAACUCUGAGACAGGUGCUGCAUGUCUGUCGUCAGCUAGUGUUGUGAAAUGUUGGGGUAAGUCCCGCAACGAGCGCAACCUUUAUCCUUGUUUGCCAGCACUUCGGGUGGGAACUCCAGGGAGACUGCCGGUGAUAAACCGGAGGAAGGUGGGGACGACGUCAAGUCAUCAUGGCCCUUACGAGUAGGGCUACACACGUGGUACAAUGGCAUAUACAGAGGGCAGCAAGACCGCGAGGUGGAGCGAAUCCCAGAAAGUAUGUCGUAGUCCGGAUCGGAGUCUGCAACUCGACUCCGUGAAGUCGGAAUCGCUAGUAAUCGUGGAUCAGAAUGCCACGGUGAAUACGUUCCCGGGCCUUGUACACACCGCCCGUCACAACAUGCGAGUGGGCUGCGACUGAAGUAGAUGUCGCAGUAAGUCGUAACAAGGUAGCGUAUAUGAGG
rnacentral:rRNA from 1 species